CUCCAUUAUUUAAUGCUGACAGCAGUUUUGUUGAGAGAGGGAUUACUUUCAUUUUACAGUUGAGGAAACUGCGGAUCAGAGUUAGAAAGGCAUUUCCCAAGAUCACACAUCUAUCUAGUCAGGAGGAAGCAAAUAUGCAUGUUCUGGUCCCACUAUGUUACAUAGCAUCUCAAACAUCCCAGUUAACAGAUUUUGCCCUUGGUAUUAAGAAGUUCUUGAAGAUCUCUGCCUCAGCCUCCUGAGUAGCUGGGAUUACAGGCACCCGCCACCACACCCAACUAAUAUUUGUUUCUGUAUUUUUAGUAGAGAUAGGGUUUCACCGUGUUAGCCAGGAUGGUCUCGAUCUCCUGACCUCGUGAUCCGCCCACCUCAGCCUCCCAAAGUGCUGGGAUUACAGGCGUGAGCCACUGUGCCUGGCCGUCAGAACUAAUUAUUAAACCUAAGUUCCUGUAUUAUUGAUUUUAUGUGAUACACUGCUUUCUACUUUCUACACUAUAUUUGAGGUAAAUAUUUCAGGGAAUCAUGGUUUCACAGAAACAGGGGAUUAUGUGCUCUGCAUCACAGCCAAGCUUUUGGAAGAAAUAUUACAACCAUAAGAGUGGGCAAUGGCAACCACUGAGAAAAGAAAGCAAAAUGUACCCAUGGGAGCUACACUACAAAGAGAAAAGGAGCCACAGGGAGUCUUUGUGGAUAUGAAAAUGGGCCCUGAGCUUGAGGGUAGCAAGCUCUCUGCUAAUAGCUUGUACUUACUAGUAUUUCCUACAGUUUGAACAUGU
rnacentral:lncRNA from 1 species